UGACGGUACCUAACAAGAAAGCCACGGCUAACUACGUGCCAGCAGCCGCGGUAAAACGUAGGUGGCAAGCGUUGUCCGGAAUUACUGGGUGUAAAGGGAGCGUAGGCGGGUCGGCAAGUUGGAAGUGAAAACUAUGGGCUCAACCCAUAGCCUGCUUUCAAAACUGUCGGUCUUGAGUACUGUAGAGGUAGGCGGAAUUCCCGGUGUAGCGGUGGAAUGCGUAGAUAUCGGGAGGAACACCAGUGGCGAAGGCGGCCUACUGGGCAGCAACUGACGCUGAGGCUCGAAAGCAUGGGUAGCAAACAGGAUUAGAUACCCUG
rnacentral:rRNA from 1 species